rnacentral:lncRNA from 1 species
AGAUUAAAAGGGUAUGAAGGCCCUGCAGGAAACAGUGGAGGAGCAGUUUCCCUCUGGAGGGGCGGGCCACACCUGAGCGCGGUUCACCUGAGCGCGGUUCACCUGAGCGCGGUUCACCUGGCGGGUCGCCGCUGGACACCAGAGGGAGACGGUCAGACAUCAUCCGGUGACGUCAGGAGAUCCGACCGAGCACCUGCCUCCUCAUCGCCUCCAGCUCCUCCUGGAAGGUCGACACACCUGUCUUUUAAGACCGCCUCACCACUCCUCCCCGGCCUGACACUCUGGACAAGCGCCGUCCGGGGGGGGCGGAGACUCUCACCCUCAGCGACUCCACCAGCGCCUCCAGCCGCAGGGCUUUCUUCCGGCAGCUCUGCGGCUUCUCCUCCAGCCUCCCCCUCCUUCAGGUACAGGUCUCCGUGCUGGAUGUGACCCAGCUCCAGCAGGGCGCCGCUGAAGCCCACCCUCAGCUCGGUGACCAUGCUCUGCAGCUGGGAGAGGCGGGACUCACAAUCCGACAUCUUCCUGGUUUGUUUCGCUCGGUCUCUUUACCUUUGAGAUCUCCUGGACGAGGUGGACCUCCUGAGGCUUCAUGAUCUGCAGAGACAAACCAGAAUCCUUACAUCCCGAGCAGCUCCGGCUCUGAUCGGAGGCGCUUUUCCCGUUUGGGAGCCGUACCUGCUCAGGUGACGCUCCUGCCAGCAGCUCUGCUGAGGAAGUAACGCGGCGUCCAGAGACGGAGAGGGAGCUGCAGGGAAACGCCCGCCGGCGCCAAGACUCCUCCUUAUUAGUCACCCGCCAGAAGGACGGGCAGCAGGAACCCCCCCCUCCCCUGCUUUGUAUUUAUGUUCUGGAAAACAUGCAUCACAAAAGCUUUCAUUUGCAUUUCAGUUCCUCUUAAAUGUGAUUUAGCUGUAAUUUGAAGAUUUUAAAAACUAGAAGAUGUUUUAUCAAAUAAAAAAGGUCCAUCAGACUUACCUUCCCUGUUAAAAUAUUCUUCAUUUUUAAAGGUUUUUCUCUCAAACUGUUAUUUGUGAAAAGCCCCCGUUCAGUCCUGGGGGGGGCAGGUUCCUGCGGGACGUCCAGCUGAGCUGCUGAGGAUUCGUGAUCGAGCAGGAACCUGUGGGACAAACGAUCCCUGAUGGAUCAUUUCUGUUGAUGUUUGAACAUGAAUAAAACCUUUAGUUUAGUGUAAAAGUUUUCAAACUUGUUUGUUUGAUUUUUAAGAUUCAGAGAAAAACUCUUUUAUUAAUAAAGAAUUCUAAAUGAAAGGUCAUACCAGUAAC